rnacentral:rRNA from 1 species
GAUGAACGCUGGCGGCGUGCCUAAUACAUGCCAGUCGAGCGAACAGACGAGGAGCUUGCUCCUCUGACGUUAGCGGCGGACGGGUGAGUAACACGUGGAUAACCUACCUAUAAGACUGGGAUAACUUCGGGAAACCGGAGCUAAUACCGGAUAAUAUUUUGAACCGCAUGGUUCAAUAGUGAAAGACGGUUUUGCUGUCACUUAUAGAUGGAUCCGCGCGGCAUUAGCUAGUUGGUAAGGUAACGGCUUACCAAGGCAACGAUGCGUAGCCGACCUGAGAGGGUGAUCGGCCACACUGGAACUGAGACACGGUCCAGACUCCUACGGGAGGCAGCAGUAGGGAAUCUUCCGCAAUGGGCGAAAGCUUGACGGAGCAACGCCGCGUGAGUGAUGAAGGUCUUCGGAUCGUAAAACUCUGUUAUUAGGGAAGAACAAAUGUGUAAGUAACUAUGCACGUCUUGACGGUACCUAAUCAGAAAGCCACGGCUAACUACGUG